AGUCUGGAGCGACGGCCCUUCCUUUACUGACUUUGAUGUCAAGCACCCUAGAUUACCUGAAGUUGGGGGGCUGAUUGACGGAGCUCUGUUCGUGCACAGCAUCUGGCUUCCAUAACUGGAGGCGGUCCCAUUGGGAUGGAAGAGAUGGCUAGAAAACACAGGAAGAUAUCUGGAACUCUCCCCCAUAAAACUGUGUGUAUGAGGCAAGGAAAUUACAGGUUAAAAAGCUUGUCUGGAAGCAUCCAGAACCAGAGAUUCAUCUGUACAUCGAGCUCCAUCUGGAACACCUUGCAUAAGCAGGACUACGUCUACAAAUCUCUCUCAAUCUCUACAGUGCUAACUGUGCAGUCUGCACAACAAAUCCUCCUGCACAUGAUUCCACAUGGAGAGUCUUUUCUGUCUGAGGGAUCACAUGAAGAACCUGUGCUUAUCAUGGCAUAAGGUGAGGCAAAGAUGGAACAGCAAUUUCAUGCAUGGAAUUUCUCUGCACAUGCGAAGGCUGCAAAGUGGAGCAGAGUCUGCCAGGGUUUCAAAGUCUUUGAGGGAGGCCCUCCUCUUGAUCCUGCUACAUGAGAGACAUGAUUCAAGGGUCUUUGAACGGGAGGCCUUUCCUACAUUUCCCAGGCUCUGGAACUCUUGCUGAGAAAGGCUGGGCUGCCCCCCUCUCUUUUGUCCUGAUGGCAAACAAAGGCCUUUUUAUUGAGGCAUGACUUUGGCUUGCACUCUUUUCUGAAGCAGAAUGGGAUUUAACUGGCUGAUGCUCUCUAUUUCUUCUGUUAUGUUUUUAACUGGCCAAUGCUCUCUAUUUCUUCUUUGUUAUGUUUUAACUGUGUUUUCAGGAAUCUGUUUUAUGUUAUGUUUUAAUUAACAUAAUAGUUUUCAUGCUGUAUUAUUUCUGGCCAACUUGAUCUUCAUUUUUGGCAGAAAAUUUGAGUAUCAGUUAAAUGAAUAAAAUAUGUGGUUACAUGCCAGCAGCUCUUAGGCAUGAAAUAUGGUAUCCAGUCGUCAUAAUCUAGCAGGACUGGGAGAAAUGACAAUAAUCCAGACUCCUUCAAUGGUAAGAAUUCUCCAGUCUUAAAGCAUCUCUGACAGAUAUUUAUCCUUUCUCCUUUUAAAGGCAUGCCAGAGGAGAACAGUCCCAUUCCUGUUAGGAUCUUGUCCCCGAUACCCUGACUAGGACUUCAGUCCUACAGUAUACAAACAGACACAGAAGUAACUCCCAUUGACCUUACUGGGGCAUGCUUCAGAAUACAUCUGUAAUGUGUUGAACUGCACUAUAAAACUACUCUGCAGCUACCUGAGUCUGUUGUUUCUUGUUCCUGUCUGGUGGAAAGAGAUUUACAAAAAAUUGCUGCCACAUCUCUUUAAUUCAUUACUUGAUGCCAAAUAUGUCCAGUUAUUUCAGGCUUUUUCUCAUAUUUCCUACAUUCCCUAUUCUUUAUCUACGUCACUUCUUUGAAUGCACUAUGAAAUGGACAGCAUAUACCAUCUGAGACCUAAUCUCUGCCAGAUAAAACAUAUUACAUCCUGCUUCUUGCACAUGGCACAUCUGCUCAUGGUAUUAUGCUACACCGUUGUUCAGGGUAGAUUUUUGCAGCUGCUACUGGUGGUAUCUUCUUGCCUACAGUACUUGACAUGGAUCAACAUUUUUGCAUACCACUCCAAGCAGAGAUUCUCUGGCACUCACAAAAGCAUGCAAAGAGUAAGUGUGAGCAAGCAUGGUAUUAUAGGCUAGAUACGGUCAUCAGGAUUGGCCUUUGCCCACCCCACAGUUCAAUCUAACCUCACAAAGUGUGGUGCCAUGGCCCAACCCUUCCCACUAAAUCUACACCCAUUCUGCAUUUAUGUCCUCAGGGGUUCCCACCCCCGCAACCUUUUCACUAAAAAGUUAAAUCUCAUGUAUAGCUCUACAAACUGAUGCUCCAGUUCGGCAAGGUCAUUUUGAUUUUCCAUCAUGUCCCUGUGGUAUUUGGAGUCCCAGUUUUGUAUAAUCUGCUGAUCUGAUAAGCAUUAUGUCAGCUCCUUCUCUCAAGUAAUUAGUGGAAUCCUUGAGCAGCAACCAGACUUGUGGUACACUGUGCUACAUCUCUCUUACCAACAGUAGUAGCAACACAGAGAAAACUUCUACUUCAGGGAGACAGACUGUCAUGGAACACUGUUCCUCCCCUGCUAGUGCUUGCAAUUAAGAGUGGCUUUCCAACAAAUUGGAUGCCCAUCAUAUAACCUGUUUUUCUCAUAUUUACC